AUACGGAGGGGGCUAGCGUUGUUUGGAAUUACUGGGCGUAAAGGGCGCGUAGGCGGUUUACCAAGUCAGGCGUGGAAGGCCUGGGCUCAACCCGGGAACUGCGCUUGAUACUGGUUGAACUUGAGUCCGGGAGAGGAUGGCGGAAUUCCCAGUGUAGAGGUGAAAUUCGUAGAUAUUGGGAAGAACACCGGUGGCGAAGGCGGCCAUCUGGACCGGAACUGACGCCGAGGCGCGAAAGCGUGGGGAGCAAACA
rnacentral:rRNA from 1 species